AUUACCUUUUAGCGGAAGAACUGGACGGCGCACUGUAAGCAUGACGGUUGAAGACUAAGUUGGUGAUACAGUCAAAGUAAAACACAUUUUAAGAUAAUUUUACUUGUACUCGUGGACGACCAAAAACCUGUUUGGGAGCUCGGGUAUUCGAAGUUGUUAACCCUACUGAGCACCAGGAAACGCUAUUUAUUAAUAAAUCACCCCUCUUCUUUUUCUCCUUUAUUUUGUUUGCUUAAUAUAGGUGGCGGGUGUGGUCCUCCUCCGGCAGCUCAAAAUUAUCAAUUAAAAAUUAGGUUAACAAAUUAGCCCUACAAAAGGCAUGGAGAAAUUUUUAGAAAGGAGGUCUGCGAACAAACUUACUAAAAAGCUAUUUUUAAUAAAGGCAGGAAACUUCUCUUCUCCACGUAUUAUUGUUACGCCGCUUUUAAAAGUGCAUGGCCUGGUAUACAGAAAAGUAAUUUGUGCCUCAUUUAAAUUGGAUCUAAAGAUAUUAGCUAGCUCUACUCGCAUGCAAGAGAUAUUACCAUUUCUAAUUAAAGAGACUGGAAAGAACAAUUCAACCUUUUUACAUAAGUUUAGUUAGGUGACUAAUGUUAGAAGUAGCUUUGCCUUGAAGAGCUUAUUAUUGCAAAGUUUUAAAGCUGAUUAACUCAAAGUUGAGAUUAAUUACUAAAGAACCACAGGCAAUUAUAACAACUUUGAAAAAGUGCAAACCUUGAGCAAGCUAAGAAUCAAUUUUUGAAACUUAAAGUUAAAAUAAUCUAAAGGCUCUAUAAGAAUUUUUUUUGUAUAGUUAUCUCUAUA